AUCUCUGAGCACUGGAUCACUCGGUUCAUGCAUCGAUGAAGAAUGCAGCUUGCUGCAAGAACUAAUGUGAAUUGCAGGACACAUUGAUCACUGACACUUCGAAUGCACAUUGCGGUCCCAAGUUACUCUGGGGGCUAUGCCUGUCUGAGGGAGA